rnacentral:rRNA from 1 species
GACGAACGCUGGCGGCGUGCCUAACACAUGCCAGUCGAACGGAAAGGCCCCUUUGGUGGUACUCGAGUGGCGAACGGGUGAGUAACACGUGCGUAACCUGCCCUUGACUUCGGGAUAACUUUAGGAAACUGGGGCUAAUACCGGUUAGGAAUCCUUUCUGCAUGGUGGGGGUUCGAAAGCUUCGGCGGUUUUGGAUGGACUCGCGGCUUAUCAGCUUGUUGGUGGGGUAGUGGCUUACCAAGGCUUUGACGGGUAGCCGGCCUGAGAGGGCGACCGGCCACAUUGAGACUGAGAUACGGCCCAGACUCCGACGGGAGGCAGCAGUGGGGAAUAUUGAACAAGGGGCGGAAGCCUGAUGCAGAAACGCCGCGUGCGGGAUGACGGCGUUCGGGUUGUAAACCGCUUUCAGCAGGGGCGAAGCUUGUGGUGACGGUACCUGCAGAAGAAGCACCGGCUAACUACGUG